CCUACGGGCGGCAGCAGUGAGGAAUAUUGGUCAAUGGGCGGGAGCCUGAACCAGCCAAGUCGCGUGAAGGAAGAAUGUACUUAGUGUUGUAAACUUCUUUUGUCUGGGAACAAAGGCGGAGACGCGUCUCCUGUUGAGUGUACCCUAAGAAUAAGCAUCGGCUAACUCCGUGCCAGCAGCCGCGGUAAUACGGAGGAUCCGAGCGUUAUCCGGAUUUAUUGGGUUUAAAGGGUGCGGAGGCGGGAGAUCAAGUCAGCGGUAAAAUGUUGGGGCUCAACCCCGGACGGCCGUUGAAACUGGUUUUCUAGAGUUGGAGAGAGGUAUGCGGAAUUCGUGGUGUAGCGGUGAAAUGCAUAGAUAUCACGAAGAACUCCGAUUGCGAAGGCAGCAUACCGGAUUCAUACUGACGCUGAGGCACGAAAGCGUGGGGAUCGAACAGGAUUAGAUACCCGGGUAGUC
rnacentral:rRNA from 1 species